UUCCUGGUUGUCCAGUGGUUAGGACUCUACACUUCCAAUGCUGGGGCCCAGGUUCAAUCCCUGGUCAGGAAA
rfam:Ovis aries breed Texel chromosome 15, whole genome shotgun sequence.